UACCAGCACCCCGAGUGGUCGGGACGAUUAUUGGGCCUAAAGCAUCCGUAGCCGGUUCUACAAGUCUUCCGUUAAAUCCACCUGCUCAACAGAUGGGCUGCGGAGGAUACUAUAGAGCUAGGAGGCGGGAGAGGCAAGCGGUACUUAGUGGGUAGGGGUAAAAUCCGUUGAUCCAUUGAAGACCGCCAGUGGCGAAGGCGGCUUGCCAGAACGCACUCGACGGUGAGGGAUGAAAGCUGGGGGAGCAAACCGG
rnacentral:rRNA from 1 species